AAAAAAGAUCCAACAUGCAGCAUAACAUGGCCAAAGAAUAGAAAAAAAAAUUUUUUUAAUAAGUAAGUAAAAAUAGUUAUUUGGGUUUCAACCCUCCUACAUCUGUUCUCUCACCCCUACAGCUAUCACUAUGCUAUAUACACAGAGGCAGUCAAUAAAUAAUUGAUAAGGACUAAUUGAAAAGUCCUACUGUUUCAUAUAAAUCUUGUCCAUGAAUGUUUAUAAGCACCAUUAUUCUUAAUGGUAGAAACAACCCAAAUGUCAAUCAACUGAUGAAUGAAUAAGUAAAAUGGUAUAACCAUACAAUGGGAUAUUAUUCAGCAGUGAAGAGAAAUGAAAUACUAACUCACCCUGGUUGAGCCUCGAAGAUAUGAUGCAAAGAGAAAUAAGCCAGUCACAAAAACAUUGUAAAAUUUCUUUCAUAUCAGAUGUCAGAGUAGAACUAUGUACAGAGACGGAAAGUAGAUUGAUAGUUGCCUAGCAUUUGGGGAAAUAGGAAGAAUGGGGGGAAUGACCACUGAUGGGAAGAGGUGUCUUUUCAAGGUGAUGAAAAUGUUCUAAAAAUAUGGUGAUGAUUGUAAAACUCUGUAAAUAUACUAAACAACAUUGAAUUUCACACUUUAAGUGGAUGGUAUGGUAUGAGACUUACACCUCAACAAAGAUAUUACUAUUUAAAAAAAAAGCAAAACCCUACUCUUCCUUGUUGCUCUGGGUCACAGCAGAAACAACUGUUGACCGAACAUCCUCUUCCCUCCUCUUUCAACUUCUCCUAUCCUCUGUUCUCUGCUUUACUUAAAGAGCCACCACUUUUCUCUUCACUGAAUGUCCUACUUUGCCCUCUCUGGGGCAGAACUCCCCAUUUUUAUCCCACCAAAUGUGGGGCUUACCCUUUCCUGCAGUGUGCGGGGCUGUGGAAGGCGCAGGCCCCCUGCAAGGGCACACGCAGCUGCCCAUCUGAGACCAUCUGCUGGAGUCACAGGCAGCUGGCCAGGCUCCGUGUGUGCCCGGCACUUCCGGCUCGUGGCCGUCACGUGGCUGGCAUAGCCGCUUGCUUCUGGUGCAGCUUCCCUACUGCACUGCGAGCAGGCGUUGUCUUAUUCCUCGUUGUGUGUUUUGUGCCUAAAACAGACAUUUGCACUUAA
rnacentral:lncRNA from 1 species